rnacentral:tRNA from 1 species
GUGAAUUUAGUUUAAUAGAAAAAACAUUUGACUUGCAAUCAGAAGAUCUGAGUUUAAUCCUCAAAGCUCACA